GUACGAUGCGUUCAUGGUUCAUUACUUGUGUGGCUUUCCAAGCGCAAUUUUAAAACACGUGCGAUUUCAUUUUUAUGCUAAAUUAACCAAUUGAAGUGAAAAUAAAACGAAGAUUAGUUUAAUUGGUCUUCUUCCUCUGGUUAACAAUUAAAUUAAUAUGGGCCCAAAACGAAAAAGAAUGUGCAAAUUUUCCGACGAUAUAGGAAAAGAAUACCCAUUCAU